UCCGCGGCCACCUGAAGGUUAGGUAGCUGCGUCCACCCGGCUUUUACCAGAGUUCCUCAACUUGGUUCCGCUUGCGAGCUUUACGGUUAAUCCAGUUUUUUCCCAUCCUUCAGGCCAGACACUGGGGCCUGCAGAACAUAGUGGAAGGGGACAUGGGUGUGCGUAGGGGAUCGAACUUGGGUCCUUGCGCUUUCGAGGCAGGCACCUGAACCACAGAGCUAAAUCCCCGGACUCCCCUAAGUCAUUUUCAAUUACUUUCUUGAAUAGAAUCUAUCUUCAGCAUCUUCAACAUGGCUCUGGUUUUCUGUUAACAUGAAAAGCUUACACACACCUGGGAUGCAGCUAGAAGAUCUUACUAUGUUUAACAAGUUGUAUCAAAAUUCCUAAUGCAUUUAUUUAUAUGUUGGGACAACUAAUAUUGAGAAAAAUACGUACUAUACAAUGCAUCCU